rnacentral:rRNA from 1 species
UACGUAGGGAGCAAGCGUUGUCCGGAAUCAUUGGGCGUAAAGCGCGCGUAGGCGGCCUCGUAAGUCCGUUGUGAAAGUCAAAGGCUCAACCUUUGAAAGCCGAUGGAUACUGUGAGGCUAGAGUCCGGAAGAGGCGAGUGGAAUUCCUGGUGUAGCGGUGGAAUGCGCAGAUAUCAGGAGGAACACCUGUGGUGUAGACAGCUUACUGGACCAUUUCUGACGCUGAGACACGAAAGCGUGGGUAGCAAACAGG